GCUGGCUUUGAAGAUGGAGAAGGGGUCCAAGAGGUGAAGACGCUGACGCUCAGAGAAGUGAAGCCACUUGUCUAAGGUCACGCCGCUGGCACAUGGUAAAACUGGGAGUCGUAUCCAGACUUCCUGGUGAGUAGCUUUGUGGAUGGUGAAGCAAGGCCUCAGAGACAGGAAGUGGAAUUUACAAUUCCCAGCUUAUAGAUUGUAGGGAGUUUUCCUAACUCCAAGUUUUCCAUUCAUACAACCAGCAUUUCCUGAGCAUAGAUGUUGCAUGAGGCACCUUUGUAGUCCCU
rnacentral:lncRNA from 1 species